UGGCGGCAGGCCUAACACAUGCAAGUCGAGCGGUAGCACAGAGAAGCUUGCUUCUUGGGUGACGAGCGGCGGACGGGUGAGUAAUGCAUAGGAAUCUGCCCGAUAGUGGGGGAUAACCUGGGGAAACCCAGGCUAAUACCGCAUACGUCCUACGGGAGAAAGGGGGCUCCGGCUCCCGCUAUUGGAUGAGCCUAUGUCGGAUUAGCUAGUUGGUGAGGUAAAGGCUCACCAAGGCAACGAUCCGUAGCUGGUCUGAGAGGAUGAUCAGCCACAUCGGGACUGAGACACGGCCCGAACUCCUACGGGAGGCAGCAGUGGGGAAUAUUGGACAAUGGGCGCAAGCCUGAUCCAGCCAUGCCGCGUGUGUGAAGAAGGCCUUCGGGUUGUAAAGCACUUUCAGCGAGGAAGAACGCCUAGUGGUUAAUACCCAUUAGGAAAGACAUCACUCGCAGAAGAAGCACCGGCUAACUCCGUGCCAGCAGCCGCGGUAAUACGGAGGGUGCGAGCGUUAAUCGGAAUUACUGGGCGUAAAGCGCGCGUAGGUGGCUUGAUAAGCCGGUUGUGAAAGCCCCGGGCUCAACCUGGGAACGGCAUCCGGAACUGUCAAGCUAGAGUGCAGGAGAGGAAGGUAGAAUUCCCGGUGUAGCGGUGAAAUGCGUAGAGAUCGGGAGGAAUACCAGUGGCGAAGGCGGCCUUCUGGACUGACACUGACACUGAGGUGCGAAAGCGUGGGUAGCAAACAGGAUUAGAUACCCUGGUAGUCCACGCCGUAAACGAUGUCGACCAGCCGUUGGGUGCCU
rnacentral:rRNA from 1 species